rnacentral:rRNA from 1 species
GACGAACGCUGGCGGCGUGCUUAACACAUGCAAGUCGAACGGUGAACCAGGGCUUGCCCUGGGGAUCAGUGGCGAACGGGUGAGUAACACGUGGGCAACCUGCCCCUGACUCUGGGAUAACUUCGGGAAACCGAAGCUAAUACCGGAUACGACCUCUGACGGCAUCGUCGGAGGUGGAAAGUUUUUCGGUCAGGGAUGGGCCCGCGGCCUAUCAGCUUGUUGGUGGGGUAAUGGCCCACCAAGGCGACGACGGGUAGCCGGCCUGAGAGGGCGACCGGCCACACUGGGACUGAGACACGGCCCAGACUCCUACGGGAGGCAGCAGUGGGGAAUAUUGCGCAAUGGGCGAAAGCCUGACGCAGCGACGCCGCGUGAGGGAUGAAGGCCUUCGGGUUGUAAACCUCUUUCAGCAGGGACGAAGCGAAAGUGACUGUACCUGCAGAAGAAGCACCGGCUAACUACGUGCCAGCCGCCGCGGUAAGAC